CAGGCGGACUGCACAGGAAGCUCUUGCAUGCCCUCUCUCCUGCCACACAAGAGGGAUGACAGGCAGAUCUGCAACCAAGUUGGGCUCUAAGUCAUUAAGAAAUCUGCCCCCAAGGAACGAAAUACAUGCCUAGUUUCAGAUUUUGUUUUUUGCAUGGGUCCUGAGUCAGUGUCUUCCCCAGCUGAAAGAAUGCACUGUCCUCAUGCCCCCACGAAAGGCACUCCUGCAAGGAAAGCAGAUCAACAGCCGGCGGGGAUGUUUAUUAUGAACCAAACUUUGGAAACUUCAGAUGUCUUGCCUGUGUAAGUCAUACACUGAGAGUGACCAAACAGGCAGAUUAGACUUUAGAAUACAGACAUCAAGAUGGCCUGCGGUUGGCUGUGCAUGUUCCAGCUGGGCUCACUGGGAAUACUAUCUCGAUUUCUGACAUCGUGGCAGAUGCCAUCCUUUUCAGCAUUCUCCAUCUUAGAAUCAACUGUGUUUGUGUCCUUGACUGGAACAUGUUCCACUGUGUUGUCAGAGAUUUCUGUCUCCCAUGCAUGACUGCUAAAAUCAGAAAAAUCAAAAUUAUAUCUGAGAGAUGCGCAGUUCCUAAGGGGCAGAAAAAAGACUGUGCUUAAGGCAGAAGGCGCUAAU
ensembl:lncRNA